AACAUGGCAGGGGUUACGAAAGAGGAAGUUCGAAUUGUGGCAUCUUCCUAUCGAAUUUGUCCUUUAGGGGCUCAUAUUGAUCACCAGACUGAACUGAAGCAAUGAGGCUUGGUAUCAAUGGACCUUGGAUCACCAAAUCAUAUCUUGAAAUGAUCCUUGAUAAAAAAAAAAGAAAUGCCCUUCCUCGAUGCUGAUUGGUCACUGAUUGAGAAGACUGAAGACUAGAAGAAAUACAUUGGCACUGCAAUCAUUGCACCAAAACCAAUUCGCGCGACUCCUGACCUUGUUACCGGAGGAUUUGUCUCAGCCAUGGACUCGGUCCCUCAACUGAUCAAAUGGCUAUUUGCUCGCAAAACCUCUAUUAAAUUGUCUUUGUAAAGUUCUAGUCCAAACACAGUAGGAGGGGGGGAGGGGGGAGGAGAGUUACC